UCUGUCUUUGGGUGAUCAGCCUUAUACCACAGAUUCAUUCUGCAUGGCUGAUACCCAGCAAAACCAGCUCACAAUGGUAAAACAUGAAUAGGGCGCCUGGAGUCCUGUUACCAUGGUGAUCCGUGGGUUGGAGCAUAAGCCGGGGCGUUGGCAUGGCAACGCCCGGAAGUGAGUAAUCAGAGGCGGACCCGGACUGCUGGUGCAUCCAGGUGCGGAGAGCAGUGCUGAUUCUGGGUCUGAGCCCUGAGCAUGGCUACCCACAGUGUGCUGGUGCCAUAGAUGGGACCCACAUACCCAUCAUCGCCUCCCGUGACAAUCCAGCAGACUACUAUAAUCGCAAGGGUUGGCAUUCCAUUGUCCUGCAAGCCACAGUGGACCACAAAUACUGAUGCAAGAUAUCUCUCAAUUCAUGCAUCUUCCUGGGAAUUCAACUCGCUAUCCGCCUCACGCAGGUGCUCCACGAUAAUGGACGUCAUUGCUCUGACCGUUUGUCCUGUUCGGUUUCUUUUUCUGCUGUGGAACGUUAUAGACUGUGAAGGGGAUGAAAUUUUUUUUUCAUCAACAAUGAUUAUAAAAAUAUACGUGUUUGUGGCCUUCUACCACCUGCACACUAGCUAUACUCUGUAACAUUUGAUUGUUCCAAUCAUUGACAAGGCAAAACCACAGUAUUGACUGGAGCACCCUCACUGCGACUCCUGGAGAAGUGGGCGCAGCCUCGCAAUUUCAUAUUAUCAAACUAUAAAUAAAUAUAUUUUAAGCCACCCUCUACGCACACAAUUAUCAGCCUUACACAUAACAGCCACAGUAGUGUUCCUUAUACAUAUUAUUGUCUCCAGUAUAGUGACAGAUACAUAUAAUGUCUUGUCGAAGUCAAAAAAAUAUUACAUAGAAAGAACAUACAGACUCCACACAUAUAAGUCGCUAUACUUGCAAAUAUGCGCAGCGAGCACAGCAAUAUAUGGUAACAUAUGCAUUUACACGGACAUGCCACAGAGAUGGAUUCGACACUUAUUUCAUACAGUACAUAAUUAUAAUAAUAUCAAGCGCCAGACAUCAUGAUGAUUUAAAAUUAUAUAAUUAAGUAAUGUCAUGUAUGUGUAUUAUUGGAACGAAGCUAGAUACAUCUGUCAUAUUUGGUAUUAAAGCAACCAGAUUAAUGUGUAGAUUCAUUUGAUACUUGUUAUUAAGUUGUAGGACAUUGCAACAAAUAGUUAUGAUUAAAUGUAUGAAAGCUAAAAUCACUCUUAUUAGGACAAUGGACAGGAAACUCAGGCCAGCCCCUUUUUGAUGUCUUCAAGGCUGAACCUGUUUAGCAUACGAACAAACCAGUGACUCAUCAUGAAUGAGAAAGUUCCCUCCCUUAAAACUAGAUAACACAUUACAGAGACACACAGUUCCCAGUUGCUGUUUUGUCCCAGACGAUGAUGGAGGUGCAUCUAGACCAGUUCCUGUAUUUAUUUGCUGAGAGAGAGAGAGAUAUUAAGAGGAAGAUGCAUUGAGGGAAUGGUAUGGUAUGCUGGCCUGUAACACUAACUGUAUGUAUGUAUUAACUGCUUACUGUAUGAAUUGUAAUCAUGUAACUAUAUGUAUACUGUACAUUGUGAUAUAUUGAAUACAUCUCCUUUUAAUAACAAAUAUAUACAUCAAUGAGCUUUGGAACUCAGAUAA